CAGCCGCCACGGUAAUACGUAGGGUGCAAGCGUUAUCCGGAAUUAUUGGGCGUAAAGAGCUCGUAGGCGGUUUGUCGCGUCUGCUGUGAAAACUGGAGGCUCAACCUCCAGCCUGCAGUGGGUACGGGCAGACUAGAGUGCGGUAGGGGAGAUUGGAAUUCCUGGUGUAGCGGUGGAAUGCGCAGAUAUCAGGAGGAACACCGAUGGCGAAGGCAGAUCUCUGGGCCGUAACUGACGCUGAGGAGCGAAAGCAUGGGGAGCGAACAGGAUUAGAUACCCGAGUAGUCCCUGUCUCUUAUAC
rnacentral:rRNA from 1 species